UCUGGAUUCAAAAUAGGUUCCAAUUUUGGUGGUUAUCGAGUCAAUGCUGAGCUUGAAGCACGACCAAACGUCCGGUUGGCUGGAGAUGCUGCCUUCUUUUGUGAUAGCAAAUUGGGUCGUCAUCGUAUGAAACAUCACCACCAUGCUGUUGUAUCAGGGCGAUUGGCCGGAGAGAAGAAUACUGGCAACGAAACAUGGAUGAACAUCUGCAGUGCACUGUCACCAAGUGCAUUCUUCGUCGUAUUAUUAGUACGCAAUCGGUUAACUAUAGUGUCGUGCUGCUGUUGGUUGUUGUACCGUUGACGACUGGGUUGACCUGGUGUACUCAUGUCUCCUGGGUAUGGCAAAUACCGAACCGCAACG